AGUCUAUGGUGUGGGCACUUCCCUAUUAUUGUCUUGAAACGCUCCCACUCCUCAUACAAGGUCUCACAUUCGUAUUGGUUAAAGUUGGUGAUUUCUCCCCUGAGUUG
rnacentral:snoRNA from 1 species